rnacentral:tmRNA from 1 species
GGGGACGACUGGUUUUGACUGCAAGGUCAAUUAAACUAUAAGCAUGUCGAGUAAUGAAAUAGCACUCGUAAAUCUCAAUUUCAACAUUUUAAACGGCGAAGAUAACUACGCUUUAGCUGCAUAAUUCGAAUUAUAGUAGAAUUUGCCUCGGCACACAAGGUGUGCAAGCUAAAUGUCUCUUGAAAGCCUUGGUUAGCGGCGGUCAGCUAAGAGACAUCGUAAAAGUUAACAUAGAUUUGCUAUUGUUUCGCUAGCAUUUUGAAACUAAAGAAACUAAGCCUAACGUAAAUUGUUUUCGAUUAGCAUUAGGACAAAAAUUAAAAGAAAACUAAGCAUGUAGAAAGUACUUUGGUUGCUUGUUUGGACCCGGGUUCGAUUCCCGGCGUCUCCAC